UGCCUCACAAACAUUGUAACAAAGUAAUUUGGGGGGAGGGGGUUGUAAUUGACUCAAAUUUGUACAUUUUAUACCGGAUGAGUUGAGCUGAGCACCCGUACUUUCCGUCUAGGAGUAGCGGAGUGGGGGUACACGACAAUGGCGUUGCGAGUCGGAACUUCAGUAGCGAGGUGAGGUCUAUGAACAAGGAAGGUCUCCAGUCUGGAAUUACCCUGGCUAGUUCUCUACCUCUCACUAUAGCAUAGUCGCGUGGCAUCGCCAGAAUAAUCUGUACCUAGUCUGACUAGUCCAGACUGAGUAGUUCAUCUUCAAACUUGGUUGGGUCAUGCUGAGUGCAGUGCUGCCGAUUCUGCAGAGAACCUUGUUUGUGACAUGCAAUACAGUAACUUAGUUUAUUUUCAAUUCUCUAUGCUUUAAUUAGUUAAUAAACUGAAUGUGUUCAAUUUUAUAAUAGCAAAUUGUUAUCCAUAGCUGUUAUACUGUACUUUAUUAUCCCAACAAGGUUCAGGGCAAUUCCGUACCAUGAAAUUUUUAGAUACAUUUUAAUCUUAAACAUGUUGUACUAUUAGAAGAAGUUUGCAAAACAUACAAGUAUAUUUAGUAGAAGACCUACAAAUUAUUAUUGUGAAAAGGUUUCAGCACAAAACAUUUUUUUAAACAGAGGCAGGUACACUUUUUUCUUAAGUGUAUGCCAUUGCCACAAUCUCCCAUAAACAUAGUUUGUCUCAAAAACAUUUAUGGUUGUA